CUCUGUAUGGGGCUGAUCUUCAGCUGGUAUAAAGUGUCAUAGCUCUGUCAAUGGGUCUAUGACAAUUCACUCCAUAUGACGAUCUGCUCCUAAGAGAAGCUAGGAGAGGAGCCGCGAGAAGGAGUGUAACAAUGUGGAGAGCUCAAGGGGGAGUCGGGGGAUGAUUUUUUUUUUCUGAGGAAGUAUGAAUAAGGUUCACCGGGUAUUCAGAAGAUUUGAGAGACUAACACGGCUGCUACUCUGAAACCUGAGAGAGAACAGUGAUUGGAAGAGAAAAGUCUUGAAGAAAGGGAAAAGUUGCAUGAAGGGAUUUAACAAAAUUGGAGGAGAACAGAGGAAGAUCAAGAAGAAACUAUGACAGCCACAAGGAUGAAAAGUAAACUGAAAUAUGCUUCCAUCUGGAAAGACAGAGACCUCUGAGGCAUUAUCACAGAUUCACACUUUCAAAGGGGCCUAGAAGAUUUUUUCCCUUUGGAGGGUGCAGUGAGCAAUCAUAAGAACAAAUUAUAUUUUCAGCGGGGCAACAACAUAU